rnacentral:rRNA from 1 species
UACGUAGGGACCGAGCGUUGUCCGGAAUCAUUGGGCGUAAAGAGCGUGUAGGCGGCCACUUAAGUCCUGCGUGAAAUCUUGCGGCUCAACCGCAAGCGGUCGUGGGAAACUGGGUGGCUAGAGUGCGGGAGAGGAGAGUGGAAUUCCUGGUGUAGCGGUGGAAUGCGCAGAUAUCGGAAGGAACACCUGUGGCGAAAGCGGCUCACUGGACCAUAACUGACGCUGAGGCGCGAAAGCUAGGGGAGCAAACAGG